GACGAACGCUGGCUGCGUGCUUAACACAUGCAAGUCGAACGCUGAAGCCAGAAGCUUGCUUCUGGUGGAUGAGCGGCGAACGGGUGAGUAACACGUGAGUAACCUGCCCCUGAUUUCGGGAUAAGCCUGGGAAACCGGGUCUAAUACCGGAUACGACCACCUGACGCAUGUCGGGUGGUGGAAAGUUUUUCGAUCGGGGAUGGGCUCGCGGCCUAUCAGCUGGUUGGUGGGGUCAUGGCCUACCAAGGCGACGACGGGUAGCCGGCCUGAGGGGGCGACCGGGCAAACUGGGACUGAGACACGGCCCAGACGCCUACGGGAGGCAGCAGUGGGGAAUAUUGCACAAUGGGGGAAACCCUGAUGCAGCGACGCAGCGUGCGGGAUGACGGCCUUCGGGUUGUAAACCGCUUUCAGCAGGGAAGAAGCGAAAGUGACGGUACCUGCAGAAGAAGUACCGGCUAACUACGUGCCAGCCGCCGCGGUAA
rnacentral:rRNA from 1 species